AAGUGGUCUGGGCAGAAAGGAGGUGCAGUGCAAAGGACCAAAGGAGGCCAAAACUAAGCUGACAGGUGUUGCAAAAUGAAAACAAAAUCCACAGAUGCGGGCAAAACUUGGAGAUGAAGAUAUGAAGGACAAAGCACGGGUACUUUAAAAAAAAAAAAAAACAACAAAAAACUCAGCCAAAGUCAAAGCAUUGAAAAGGCAUGGCAUGCAAACUAGUGCAGGGACACUCACACCAAGCCUUGCCAGAAUUGAUCCCCGCUGAAGGCCAAAACAAAUAAGAAGGACUUACAAACAUUCUGGAAUGGAGAUAUGAUCAAAGGAAAUGAAAUUGAAAAAAAAAAAAAAGAAAAAUGGGAAAUUUUGUGACUACAAGAAAGUGGUCUGGGCAGAAAGGAGGUGCAGUGCAAAGGACCAAAAGAGGCCAAAACUAAGCUGACAGAUGUUGGAAAAGGAAAACAAAAUCCAAGGUGGCAGGCACAACUUGGAGGGGAAGAUAGGAGGGACAUUGCAUGGAUACUUUAAAAAAAAAAAAAAAAAACAAAAAACUCAGCCAAAGUCAAAGCAUUGAAAAGGCAUGGCAUGCAAACAACUGCAGGGACACUCACACCAAGCCUUGCCAGAAUUGAUCCCCGCUGAAGGCCAAAACAAAUAAGAAGGACUUACAAACAUUCUGGAAUGGAGAUAUGAUCAAAGGAAAUGAAAUUGAAAAAAAAAAAAUGGAAAAUGAGAAAUUUGGUGACUACAAGAGAGUGGUCUGGGCAGAAAGGAGGUGCACUGCAAGGAAACAAAAGAGGCCAAAACUAAGCUGACAGGUGUUGGAAAAGCAAAACAAAAUCCAAGGUGGCAGGCACAACUUGGAGGGGAAGAUAGGAAGGACAUUGCAUGGAUAUUUAAUAAAAAAAAAAAACAAACAAAAAAAUCUCAGCCAAAGACAAAGCCAUGAAAAGGCAUGGCAUGCAAACAACUGCAGGGACACUCACACCAAGCCUUGCCAGAAUUGAUCCCCGCUGAAGGCCAAAACAAAUAAGAAGGACUUACAAACAUUCUGGAAUGGAGAUAUGAUCAAAGGAAAUGAAAUUGAAAAAAAAAAAAAAGAAAAAUGGGAAAUUUUGUGACUACAAGAAAGUGGUCUGGGCAGAAAGGAGGUGCAGUGCAAAGGACCAAAAGAGGCCAAAACUAAGCUGACAGAUGUUGGAAAAGGAAAACAAAAUCCAAGGUGGCAGGCACAACUUGGAGGGGAAGAUAGGAGGGACAUUGCAUGGAUACUUUAAAAAAAAAAAAACAAACAAAAAAUCUCAGCCAAAGCCAAAGCCAUGAAAAGGCAUGGCAUGCAAACAACUGCAGGGACACUCACACCAAGCCUUGCCAGAAUUGAUCCCCGCUGAAGGCCAAAACAUAUAAGAAGGACUUACAAACACUCUGGAAUGGAGAUAUGAUCAAAGGAAAUGAAAUUGAAAAAAAAAAAAAGCAAAAUGGGAAAUUUGGUGACUACAAGAAAGUGGUCUGGGCAGAAAGGAGGUGCACUGCAAGGAAACAAAAGAGGCCAAAACUAAGCUGACAGGUGUUGGAAAAGCAAAACAUAAUCCAAGGUUGCAGCCACAACUUGGAGUGGAAGAUAGGAGGGACAUUGCAUGGAUACUUUAAAAAAAAAAAAACAAACAAAAAAUCUCAGCCAAAGCCAAAGCCAUGAAAAGGCAUGGCAUGCAAACAACUGCAGGGACACUCACACCAAGCCUUGGCUAAAUUGAUCCCCGCUGAAGGCCAAAACAAAUAAGAAGGACUUACAAACAUUCUGGAAUGGAGAUAUGAUCAAAGGAAAUGAAAUUGAAAAAAAAAAAAAAUGGAAAAUGAGAAAUUUGGUGACUACAAGAAAGUGGUCUGGGCAGAAAGGAGGUGCAGUGCAAAGGACCAAAAGAGGCCAAAACUAAGCUGACAGAUGUUGGAAAAGGAAAACAAAAUCCAAGGUGGCAGGCACAACUUGGAGGGGAAGAUAGGAGGGACAUUGCAUGGAUACUUUAAAAAAAAAAAAACAAACAAAAAAUCUCAGCCAAAGCCAAAGCCAUGAAAAGGCAUGGCAUGCAAACAACUGCAGGGACACUCACACCAACCCUUGGCUAAAUUGAUUCCCGCUGAAGGCCAAAACAAAUAAGAAGGACUUACAAACAUUCUGGAAUGGAGAUAUGAUCAAAGGAAAUGAAAUUGAAAAAAAAAAAAUGGAAAAUGAGAAAUUUGGUGACUACAAGAAAGUGGUCUGGGCAGAAAGGAGGUGCAGUGCAAAGGACCAAAAGAGGCCAAAACUAAGCUGACAGAUGUUGGAAAAGCAAAACAAAAU